rnacentral:rRNA from 1 species
UACGUAGGCAGCGAGCGUUGUUCGGAGUUACUGGGCGUAAAGAGUGUGUAGGCGGCGCUCUAAGUUCGGUGUGAAAUCUCUCGGCUUAACUGGGAGGGUGCGCCGGAAACUGGAGUGCUCGAACGUGGGAGAGGAAAGCGGAAUUCCUGGUGUAGCGGUGAAAUGCGUAGAUAUCAGGAGGAACACCUGCGGUGUAGACGGCUUUCUGGACCAUUGUUGACGCUGAGACACGAAAGCGUGGGGAGCGAACAGG